rnacentral:lncRNA from 12 species
AUUCGGACCUCUCCCGGGCGCCGGCGGCGGGGUCCCGGGGCUGCCGCCGUUCGCGCCCCGUGCGCCCCGGGCACCGGCCGCCGAACUUCUUCCCGGGACGGAGACCGCGCUCGCGCCCUGGGCCGAGGUGGGAGCCCGCGGGGCUGCGUAGGGCGAGGGCGAAUGGCUCCCGGCGGCGGCGGUGGCGGUGGCCGCGGCCGCGGCGGCGGGGAGGGAGGUCCGGAGAGGUCAGCUGCACGGCGGGCAGCACCCCCCCGCCCCCCAGGACCCAGCGGCACCCGGUGGGCGCGGGGGUAGGCGCCCUGCCUUGGGCCGAGGUCCUCCGCUCCAGUUUUCAAGGCCCUGGCGGGACCCUGUGCCCCAGAAGCUGCCUCUGGACCUGUAGCUCCGGCAGGUCAAGACCCAGAGUGGAAGGUGGGGGGCACUUGGAUGCAGCCCCCCCCACCUCUCUCUCAGCCUGGCGAUUUCUCUACUGUCUGGAGCAGGGAUGUUGGGGCUGCGCAGCCCAGGAACUCCCUGCCUGGAGGAGAGCCAGCCUGGUCCCAGCUCCUCUCCCCCUCCGGGGUAGGGGUCCUUCAGUUUCAGAAAGUGAAAAAGCCACUUUGGGGCUGGGAGAGCCUUUUCUGCUGCCUGGGACCUGGUGGCGGUGCUGGUGGAUGUGCGGAAGAAGUGGUUCAGGGGGCACAGCAUCAGCUCACCCUGGCCCUGGCCCUGCCUACCAGCUGCUCAUCUUGUCCCGACCUGUCCCGGGGGGUCAGCAGUGAGAGUCUCCGUCCAAGGCCCUGAGGUCUGGCCCCAGUGGGCCUGGCAGGCUGUGCGCUGGGGUCACCAGAGUUGGAACUGGGGCCGUUCCCCCAAGCCUCAGGGUCUGGCUCGGCCUGCCCCCCUUCCUGCCUGCCCUCUCAGGGCUCCAGCAGGGGGCGGGCGGGGGAAAGAAAAGGAAGGACAAGUUGAACUGGGUCCAUCUGGUGUCCAGGAGCCACUUGAAAGGGGGUGGGGGGAGGGGACAGGCGACGAGAGCUUGGCUUUGCCAAGGAGGGUUGGGUGG